GUAAUGAAAAAAAUCGUACUCGUGACAUUUUAUCAAAACUUCUUGUGAUGGAAUAGUGUAUCAGAAGAUGAGUGAGCGAAAGUAUCGAUAUACAAGAAGAGUUAGAUAUAUUAAAGGGAAUACCACGAGGUGGCGUCUGAAGCGAUAGAAAAAGGAGCUGAACAGAGGUACCAUUACUUGCAAGUGGUGCUUUGAACACACUCGCGUCUUUCCGUUAAACCCGAUAUUUAUUGUGCCAGUCGCCUCUCUCAUCGCUUUCAUUUAAAAAUAUUAUCGCUGACGGUGAAUGACAUCAGAAAGCAUCGGCAAAAACAUUUCGUUAUAAGAAACGUUUAACGUGCACACAUACCGGUCUGGCACCGAAAGAGUUAAUUAUGACAAAGAUGGUAUCCCG